rnacentral:rRNA from 1 species
GGKUAAGUCCUAUAACGAGCGAAACCCUUUUACUUAAUUGCCAGCACGUAAUGGUGGGAACUUUAAGUAGACUGCCCGUGUAAGCGGGAGGAAGGAGAGGAUGAGGUCAAGUCAUCAUGGCCUUUAUGCCCAGGGCUACACACGUACUACAAUGGCAUGUACAAAAGGAAGCUACUUGGUAACAAGAUGCAAAUCUCAAAAGCAUGUCUCAGUUCGGAUUGAGGUCUGCAAUUCGACCUCAUGAAGUUGGAAUCGCUAGUAAUCGCGUAUCAGCAAUGACGCGGUGAAUACGUUCUCGGACCUUGUACACACCGCCCAUCAAGCCAUGGGAGUUGGUAGAGCUUGAAGACAGUG